rnacentral:ribozyme from 1 species
GAGCAGCAAAAGCUGAGAUUCAAAUCUUUCGCUGGAGACUUUGUGCAACUUGCCAAAACAAAAAAACAAAAAAAAAUACAAAAAUUGUUGGAUCUGUUCACUGCACAUG